UCUUUCUGCUAACCCUGUCUCUGCAAAAUUCUCUUCUUCUUCGCCGAACUCUCAACAAAUCUUUGAUUUUUAUUUUUGAAUUUUUUAAUGUUUCGUCCUCUGAGUUGUGUCAUCUGGAAUAGAGAACACACUAGAAAACAUACCCAAUUCCUCCACCAAAAUAGGAAACCCUAAAAAAUCAAUGAGGGAGAAGAAAUUCAAUAAAUCUGAUUAAAAUUGGAUAUUUAGGUGAAUAUUUUUUGAGAUGGGUGAAUUCCCAGGAAAUUGAAGUAGUAAUCCGAAAGAGAGAUGGGUAAAUUCGCAGGAAAUUGAAUAGUAAUGCAUGUCUGAGUCGUAAUGGAAAGCAAUCUAACACCACCACCACUAAUUGCAGGGUCUGACAAGAAGAGAAGAGACAUUCCUGAGACUGUAAUGUUUGUAAGAUUGAUUCUGAAAAUCUCACGAAUUUGAUAAUCCAUUGUGCUAUUAGAUCUGCCAGCUUUUUGAGUAUGAAUGUUGUCUAAGAGAUUGAUCAUGGGAGAUGGGUAUAUUAAGUGUUCAGGAUACGAAUCUGAGAUGGGGUUGUUGGAGAAAUUGGAUAAGAAGAUACUGUUGCUGCCAUAGUUUUGAGACUGUGCAGCUAGAAGAGGUGAGACUGCUGAUGGUGGAUAAGCAGGUGGUGAUUUACAGAAGAAAGAUGGUGUUGUAGCUGCUGUUGAAGUAAUUAUUAUUAGGGAAGAAGAGUUGAGACAUAACUGGGAGUGUAUGAUGCCAGAACAAACUGUAACUCACAGAGACAGGAAAAGCUCCCAUGGUUAAGAUGCUACUAUUGCACCAGUGUCAGAUGAUGGAUUUCAUGUCAUGUAACAAAGUUACCAGCGAUCUGCCCCUCCUGGAAGAAAAUGUACCUCGAGAAGCUUAUCAGGUUAUGAGCAAUCCAGCGCUAAGAAAAACUUGAAUUUGAAGUUUUGUAUAUCUAGGUCUUUUACAGGGUCAAAGAUUGAUGCAGCGAAACGAUUAGAAACUCUAGAUGUUUGAAAAUCUGUUUUGGUUCCUGUGGUUUGUGUGCUUGCUGUUUGCCGGAGAUUCAGGAGGCAAGGUGUAAUCAAAAAUAGGAUGUGGAGAUGUUGCAUUCAACUAUUCAAGAGAUGGUUCCUGCGGUUUGUGUGCUUGCUGUUUGCCGGAGAUUCAGGAGGCAAGGUUUAAUCAAAAAUACGGUGCAGAGAUGUUACAUUCAACUAUUCAAGAUAUUAAAAAUGGGCUUCCUCAAUGCAACAGAUUUACCAAGAGCAAAGCUUAGUGAUUUCACAGAAGGCAGACUCACUUAUGUUUGAAGCAAGAACGGGAUGACAGAGCGAAGGGUAUGUGAAAGAAUUCUGAUGAGGAAUGGAUUGCAGAAUUCUCAGACCACAGGGGGUUAUAUAUAUUAGAAGUUAGGUUCGAAUGGAAUUCUGAGUUGUCCAGGGAGAAACGCCUUGAUGUAGAACUGUUUUUGUACAGCGCAUAUAUCAUGUCAACGAUGAAUUAGAACAUCUAUAUAGUUUAAAAUCCCAAGAGAUUAGUCACCUGGCAACUGGAGAACCAGUUAAGAAGCAAACAAUGAAACAUCAUCAGCCGCAACCCACACAGAGAAACACUAGGAAAUCGGAGACUUCUGGGAGGGGUAGCAACGUGCAUUGAGCAACUCUGAUGAUGAAGACUAGGAGUCCAAUGAUUUUGUGAAGACUAUUCAAUGAAUUGGUUGGGCAGCAGGUAUUUAUUUUAAAAUUUUGGGUUCUUAUAAGAUUUUAUUCACAUUAUUUUAAAUUAUUUUUGAGUUAUAUUAUAUUGUUCAAUGGAUUUAUAUGUAAAUUAAAUCCAUAUGUAGGUUGGAUUGAAAUUACACAUGUAUGAGUGUAACAUUCUUUAUGAGCAAAUAAGUUACUGCGAUAUUGGUUACUCUCUAUCAUAUGUCUUUGUGAGAUUUGUUCAGUUCCCAAUAGUAAGAUCUGAACAUAACAAAGGUAGUCUGAUUACGAAUUUUUUGAAAUGCGAUUUCCUAUAAUGUGACGGAAACUGUGAAAUUGUUUUAGAGUUAACCGCUUCAUUGUAUGUUCUCAUGUGUCGGGAUCAAGCUGCUUCAUAUAUACCAGGAUCAAGCUAACAUGUUUCAAUGCUAUGUCCCUGAUGUUAGACCAGUCCUCCAUGCUCUACUUAUUGCAGAAUGGUAACAACAGUGGUAACAACAAUCCAAAUCCAAAUCCAGGUUCACUUGGGUGUAUAAAAAUGGGUAAGGAAGAACUAAGAGCACAUAAGAGCCGAUUUACAUUGUGGGUUAAAAGAUUCACUGCUAAAGGGAGAUUCAUCUAUAAAAAGGGGAAGAGGAUUGUGUUGCCAUCAUCAUUUACUGGAGGACCAAGGUAUAUGAUGCAGCUCUAUCAAGAUGCCAUUGCAAUUUGUUCACGUAUUGGUGUUCCAGAUCCGUUUAUAACAUUCACUUGCAAUCCCAAAUGGAAGGAAAUUACACUGGCUCUAAGCAAGAUACCAGGACAGCGACCAGAGGAUAGACCAGAUAUUAUUGCGAGGAUAUUUAAGCUAAAACUAAAGAAUCUGAUGGAGGUUCUACUUACGAAAAAACAUUUGGGUAUAUUAAUUAAAUACCCUUGCAUUUGGAACCCAUUUUGGGAAAGUGAAAGGAGUUGACCACAUCCAGCCUUAUUGUUCACGUUCCAAGGUGGAGCUCCAUAUCCACAACAUUCCUAAUAGGGAUUCUUCUGCACAACAAUCAUAAUCAAUAUAUAGAGUUGCCGAGACCCAUGGUUGCAGACAAUAGGGAUGCAGAUCAUACAAAAUGGACAACAUAGUUUCAUAGGAACUAUUUCAUUAAGAUGCUGGCGACGAGAUGUAAGGUGACGUAAUUCAGUGGUCGGUUCCUUUGGUUGAUAUGUGGUAGUUUUGGGGUUUGGUAGUGGUGGCUUUGGAAUCUCUUACUAUGAAUUGUGUUAUUUAUUUAGGUGACGAACCUUUGAAAAGGGAAGAUGGUCUACUACUCUGUAAGUGGUGGUAGUAUUAUGCAUCCAAAUUCCAAUUUUAUUUUGCAUAUAAAUAUGAUUCAUUCUUUGAUUAGUACAAAC